UACGGGGGGAGCAAGCGUUGUUCGGAUUUACUGGGCGUAAAGGGCGCGUAGGCGGUCAGCACAAGUCAGUUGUGAAAUCUCCGGGCUUAACCCGGAAAGGUCAACUGAUACUGCGGGGCUAGAGUGCGGAAGGGGCAACUGGAAUUCUCGGUGUAGCGGUGAAAUGCGUAGAUAUCGAGAGGAACACCUGCGGCGAAGGCGGGUUGCUGGGCCGACACUGACGCUGAUGCGCGAAAGCCAGGGGGAGCGAACGGG
rnacentral:rRNA from 1 species